AUUGAACGCUGGCGGCAUGCUUUACACAUGCAAGUCGAACGGUAACAGGCCUUCGGGCGCUGACGAGUGGCGAACGGGUGAGUAAUGCAUCGGAACGUGCCCAGUCGUGGGGGAUAACUAUCCGAAAGGAUAGCUAAUACCGCAUACGAUCUGCGGAUGAAAGCGGGGGACCUUCGGGCCUCGCGCGAUUGGAGCGGCCGAUGUCAGAUUAGGUAGUUGGUGGGGUAAAGGCUCACCAAGCCAACGAUCUGUAGCUGGUCUGAGAGGACGACCAGCCACACUGGGACUGAGACACGGCCCAGACUCCUACGGGAGGCAGCAGUGGGGAAUUUUGGACAAUGGGCGCAAGCCUGAUCCAGCAAUGCCGCGUGCAGGAAGAAGGCCUUCGGGUUGUACACUGCUUUUGUACGGAACGAAACGGCUCUUUCUAAUAAAGAGGGUCCAUGACGGUACCGUAAGAAUAAGCACCGGCUAACUACGUGCCAGCCGCCGCCGUAACAC
rnacentral:rRNA from 1 species